AGAUUGUCUUUGCAGCAUGCACGACUCUCCAGCAUUUUUUCUCGGAUUGACCGCUAGGUUUUGACUCCUGCUUGCAUCUGACUACGUCUUCUCAUCUCUGCCCUUGGAUCCCCUGUUAAGUUUCUCCACUCCUGUGAGUACUUCAGGUUUCGCUGUGUUGCCGGUUCCAUGACCUACUGCCUCUCCACGACUAUCUCUCUGUCUUUUCCCUCUGGGUUUAGUCUGCCCCGCUGACUGUCUGCCAGGUUUUGACAUUGCCUUUGCUUCAACCUAGAGCCCAGCCUGCCCCUCAACGGUGCCUCCGCACUUCUCAAAGACUCUCGGGUGUAGUGUGUUUUUCCGGGAGCACUCACCUGUCAGCUUGUUGAAUCUGUUUCCUGUGGAUCUGUUCCCUGUUGAUUUUGGAGUUUCUGCAAAGACUGCUAAAUUUGAACUUUCUUAAAUCUCAGCGGGUCCUCCACUGUUGAUACCUACAUCGAUGUUUACCUAAGUCUUGUCCAGUCUACCUCCUUUUUUGAGUGCCUGUGUUUUUUUUUGACAAGUCUUUGGAAUUUUGGUUGUUGUCUUUUGAGCAUGGGCAGUUUUUAAUUGCAGCUCGACUUAACUGCAUGUAAGUGUACUGAAUGCCAUUUUGGGACAUUUGACUUGGGGCUUCAAACCCCAACUCCUAACUCCUACUACUUUGACUUGGGGCUUCAAACCCCAACUCCUAACUCCUACUACCACUUACACAGUAAAAAAGGGGAUCAGGGGCAAUGGAUUUAUUCAGUGUUUGAGGUCUGUCACUGAAAAUGAAUUAGGAUAAAUUGAUGGUAUUACUCUUAAAGCUGCGCUACUGGGAUUGUGUAAAUUACUUUGCGAUUGAGAAAUAAGACGAUGUCAGUCACUGGAUAAAAGACUCUCUG